rnacentral:lncRNA from 1 species
ACCCCGUACAACCCAAACUGUUAACCUUCAAUACUGCUUUGUACUUACGAUCUUGUAUCCACUAACUGUCUUGUUAGAUUAACCCAAUAAAUUUCAUUCACUCCGCAUACUCAAUCCUAUAGACACCCUUUUAAUCCUUCAAUCACAGACGUAACUCGAUUUCACAAAACAGUCAAGAGUACUCAAACCCACUUCAUUAAAAAUCCCGAUUCACCAUUACAACACUGACUUCAGCAACGAUUGCCUCAGUCUUCCCAAAACUCUAUGAAGAAGAAAAAUCCAAUUCUUCGUCUUUUCUUCUCCGACCCGAAGUAUGAAGCUCCUCUCCAGUCCCCUUGAUCCUCAAAACCUCCAAUGAAAACGAACUAAUAACCUUGCAAAAAGCUUGAA